AGACCCGAAACCGGGUGACCUAUCCAUGGCCAGGUUGAAGCGAGGGUAAAACUUCGUGGAGGACCGAACCACGUUGCUGUUGAAAAAGCAUGGGAUGAGCUGUGGAUAGCGGAGAAAUUCCAAUCGAACUCGGAGAUAGCUGGUUCUCCCCGAAAUAGCUUUAGGGCUAGCGUCGGAUAUGUGUAGUGGAGGUAGAGCACUGAAUGGGCUAGGGGGCAUAGCGCUUACCGAACCUUAUCAAACUCCGAAUGCCACAUACAUUAAGUCCGGCAGUCAGACUACGAAUGAUAAGAUCCGUGGUCAAAAGGGAAACAGCCCAGAUCGUCAGCUAAGGUCCCAAAGUGUAAGUUAAGUGGAAAAGGAUGUGGGAUUUCUAAGACAACUAGGAUGUUGGCUUAGAAGCAGCCACUCAUUUAAAGAGUGCGUAAUAGCUCACUAGUCGAGAGAUCCUGCGCCGAAAAUGUCCGGGGCUCAAACUUACCACCGAAGCUACGGGCUUGCAUUAGCAAGCGGUAGGGGAGCGUCGUAAUCGGGCUGAAGUCGUACCGUAAGGAGCGGUGGACUGAUUACGAGUGAGAAUGUUGGCAUUAGUAGCGAGAUGUAGGUGAGAAUCCUACAGGCCGAAUAUCUAAGGUUUCCUCAGGAAGGCUCGUCCGCUGAGGGUUAGUCGGGACCUAAGCCGAGGCCGAAAGGCGUAGGCGAUGGACAAUCGGUUGAUAUUCCGAUACCACUACCAUCGUUAUUAUCGAGGGUGUGACGGAGAAGGAUAGUGUGUGCUAGCGAUUGGAAAUGCUAGUCUAAGCGUUUAGGGAGUUACGGUAGGCAAAUCCGCUGUAACAAUUCUGAGGCGUGAUGGGGAAGGCCAUAUAGGCCGAAGUACAUGAUUCCAUGCUUCCAAGAAAAGCAUCUAGAGAGAGAAGUAGUGCCCGUACCGCAAACCGACACAGGUAGAUGAGGAGAGAAUCCUAAGGCCGGCGGAAGAAUUGCAGUUAAGGAACUAGGCAAAUUGACCCCGUAAGUUCGCGAGAAGGGGUGCCUGCGAGAGCAGGCCGCAGAGAAUAGGCCCAAGCAACUGUUUAGCAAAAACACAGGUCUCUGCUAAAGCGCAAGCUGAUGUAUAGGGGCUGACGCCUGCCCGGUGCUGGAAGGUUAAGGGGAACACUUAGCGCAAGCGAAGGUGUGAACUUAAGCCCCAGUAAACGGCGG
rnacentral:rRNA from 1 species